CACUUUGUGGAGACCUCUCUGUGCUGUGCUUGGCUGCUUGAUGAUCAGUUGUUGGAGCCCUCCUGGUUCAGCUUGUUAUGUUCCUUUGAUUGCGCUUGGCUCUGCUGACUUGCCAGCACUUAAUCUUCCUCCUUUAGUAGCUCUCUGUUUGUCUGCACG